GUUCUGCUGUUUGGAUUGGACCAGCUGGAGCUAAAGGCUGCCUACAGAGAAACUCCUACUGAAUGCCAAUCGUCUGGUCCUAUCAGAUUGUCUCUGCCUGGGACAGCUGAGCAGGAGAGGCCAAGAGAAGGCAGAACCCCAGGAGAGAGAGAAAGAGAGAGACAGACAGACAGACAAGGUGAGCAGUGGCUCAGAGUAGCUACUACAUCCACCCAAUAAGCUCUUCAUUACUGAAGGUUUCCUGAGUGUGUAUCUGUUUCUUGAAGUCAGUGAAAAUGGUGUUUGGCAUGUUUUAAGGAGGCUCCAUCAAACUUGAGUCUGUUGUGUUUGCAGGAUAUUUUGGUUAUUAAUAUUUUCCUAUUGAUUUGAUUAUUCAUGAGCUAGAAACACUCGUUCUGGUAGCCAAAUGCUUCUCUUCUUCACCUUAUCACACAGAGCUCCUAUUUACUGAUUUUCAGAUAACUACUUAUAGAACUUUUUUUCCCCCAAGUCCUGGAUAGACUCUUCAUCAUAUCACAUCACAUCACUUUAUGAGUCUGGAUUCACAAAGGUGAGGCUGCCCUGAACCCCCAUGUCUAAAGUCCAGAGGAGACAGCACCUGGUGGACAGUGUCGCCAUGGACUCUGUCUUAAUAACCAACUCGAAGUGGCACAAAUGGAAAGAGAAGGUGAGAGUGAACUACAAGCCCUUGCAACCAGAUUUGUGGGGUUCCCCCUAUAAAAAUAGAACUCGGUUAAAACUCAAAGCAGAGGAGGACUCAUGAAGGCUGCUGAGUUACAAGGCAGGCAAACCCAUAAAGAUAAAAUAGUUUACUUGUUAACAGAUUAAUCCAGGAAAGAAAAAAAGGCAACUAAAUGAAAGAAGACACCAUCGAGUGGUAUUAUUAGUCAUUACUAUUAUAAGAUGGAAUGAAAUGGAAGCAGACAGGAAGGUCAGAGAAAAGAAAUGGUUUACAAAAUAUUUCUCAGAAAUAUAGAAACAGGAAGAUUUUGAAUCAACCCCUCUGUAUUAUCACAGUCUUCAAAGAAUUACAAAAAGGACGUUAGAAACAAUAAUCAGCAAACUGGAAAUCAUUUCCAGCCACCAGGAAGAAACAUGAAACAGGUUUGCUGAUGAGGGUGAAGCCAGGAAAACCCAAGAAAUUCCAUGAAUUGUGCUUUAAAACAAGAGAGGGCCCCGAAGAUUGGCAGCGCAGGAAUGCUCUUCAAUCAGGUAAAUCUGAAGGAAGUGAAAAAUAAAAUAGAAGGAAAAGAAGAAGGAAAUGAAGAAAAAUUUUCACAACAAUACCGUUCCUGAAGAUGUAUCAUAGAAACAACUCAGCAACACCUGCAAAGACAAACCCAAAUAAGGGGGCGCCUGGAGGGCUACCCUGGUGGCUCAGGUCUCUUGCUUUGGCAGGCAGGUUCUUCACUGUCUGAGCCAGCAUGGAAGCUUUACAGUCACCUUAAAAGAGUUCUGGGACUUCUCUGGUGCUCCAGUAGUUAAGAACCUGCCUUCCAACGCAGGGGACACAGGUUCAGUCCCUGGUCAGGGAAUUAAGAUCCCACAUGCUGUGGAGCAACUAAGCCCAUGUGCUAGACAGCUCACAUGUUACAAUUAGAGAGAAGCCCAGCACAUCACGGUGAAAGAUCCCCUGUGCCGCAACUAAGACCCGAAUCAGCUAACAAAU
ensembl:lncRNA